rnacentral:rRNA from 1 species
UAACGCGUGAGGAACCUGCCUCAAAGAGGGGGACAACAGUUGGAAACGACUGCUAAUACCGCAUAAGCCCACGACCCGGCAUCGGGUUGAGGGAAAAGGAGCAAUCCGCUUUGAGAUGGCCUCGCGUCCGAUUAGCUAGUUGGUGAGGUAACGGCCCACCAAGGCGACGAUCGGUAGCCGGACUGAGAGGUUGAACGGCCACAUUGGGACUGAGACACGGCCCAGACUCCUACGGGAGGCAGCAGUGGGGAAUAUUGCACAAUGGGGGAAACCCUGAUGCAGCGACGCCGCGUGGAGGAAGAAGGUCUUCGGAUUGUAAACUCCUGUUGUUGAGGAAGAUAAUGACGGUACUCAACAAGGAAGUGACGGCUAACUACGUGCCAGCAGCCGCGGUAAAACGUAGGUCACAAGCGUUGUCCGGAAUUACUGGGUGUAAAGGGAGCGCAGGCGGGAAGACAAGUUGGAAGUGAAAUCCAUGGGCUCAACCCAUGAACUGCUUUCAAAACUGUUUUUCUUGAGUAGUGCAGAGGUAGGCGGAAUUCCCGGUGUAGCGGUGGAAUGCGUAGAUAUCGGGAGGAACACCAGUGGCGAAGGCGGCCUACUGGGCACCAACUGACGCUGAGGCUCGAAAGUGUGGGUAGCAAACAGGAUUAGAUACCCUGGUAGUCCACACUGUAAACGAUGAUUACUAGGUGU